CACAGCGCAGGAGCUCUCAGACUACCUCAGAUGCCAAGAGCCUGGUUUGAAUACAAGCCUUGCCAUUGUGUGACUUUGGGCCAGUGUUUCCAGCCAUCAUGUCAGAGCUGAGUGGAGUGGCACUGGGUGCCAAGGCAAACACCCAGCCCAGCUGUGCUGGGAAGAACUGAGCUCCAAUGUGUCUUGUGACCCAGCUCCUCCCACCCACCUGGCUGUGUCUCCUAUCCUGCAGAGAUUUCUGGGGGCUGUUUCCAGUAAACAGAGUGCCAGCACCCACUAACCUGUAAAUAGCACCUUGUUCAGGGGGAGUGAUAUUCUUUGGUAAGUGACCGUAAACUGAUUAUACCAAGUCCUUCAAUGGAGAGAUGGUGGUUAAAAAGCAAAACUGAGGCUGGUAAAUUUUUACCAUUUCUUUGUAGACUGUAUGAUUUGGGGCCUUGCUGCUCAAAAUGUGGUCAGCAGCAUUGACAUCACCUGGGAUCUCAUUACAAAUGCAGAAUCUCAGACCUCACUCCAGAUGUGCUGGAUGAGAAUGGCCAUUUUCACAAGCUCCCCAGGAUAUGUGUGCCUGUUAAAGUUUGAGAAGCACUGAUCGGAGGACUUCGGUUAUAAUCCCACCUCCUUCUAUAAGUGAUUAAAGAAAAUUCACUUAUACUCUCCUUUGAACAGCUGUAUGCUUCUCAAUUUCUCUCUCUCUCUCUCUCUCUCACACACACACACACACACACACACUUUAUUUUUCAAUCUCUAUAGACUUGCUUCUUUGUAAGGCUCUCAAUUUCUCCUCCCCAGUGACACAAGCUUGCAUGUGGAUAUAGCUCGUCAUGGUGCCUAUUUAUCUUCAACUUUAUGCAACCUUAGCACUCUUUUACUCAGAAACCUUUUGACUGGGAGAGCAGGGCAAACUCAAAUCCCUACAGAGACCAGGAAGGCAGCAUGGAUGAGUGCAGAAAGCUACAUUUGUUUCAGAAAGGAAUCAGUGUAUAUUCUUUCAGCAGACACAUUUAGUUUGUUUCUUAUAAGCCACUAGAAGAGUCAUUACUUUCACAAAGUCAUAUGCUUAUUCCCAUUUUUCAUAAAAUAUGGCCUAUCUUCAGUUUUCCCAGUUUUGAUACAGAAAAAAAUAUAAGAAAGAUUUUCUAUUUCCUAUAACUAUAAAAGCCCACUAAUAGCACCAGCACAGCCACCCCUGGGCUUCACACAGGGAGUGGCAGGAGCUGUGCAGAUGGAGAGUGCAUACUGGUGUGAAGGGGGCAAUGGAUCUCAGCUCCAGCCAUUGUCUUCAUGCAGGAAUUUGGGACCAUUUUACCGGAUCCUCCCAUUUCUUCAAGAGAAGCCGGAAAUCUGGAUUUCUAUGUGAAAUCUCCCACUUUUUUAUGCUGGCAACUAAUUUUCUUUAAACACUGUGCCAAACAAAACAUACCUGCAGGCCAAAAUCUACACCCUCUGGGCUGGAUUUCAAUGUCUCUUAAACUCUCAACAGAGAGCAUCUUACUGUUUCAGUUCAGGGUAGAUGUCUACCCAUGGUCCCAUCGAGUGGGGUCUGGAUAUGGAAUCAGCUAGAAGAAGCAUAGUCUAUGCCCAUUCUUUCAGCAGGGACUGUGGGCAGGAAACCAUUUCCAAAGAAGCAGGCAUGAGUUGGUGGCCAUACAAAUAUAUAUGUUAUAUUGAUAAAUAUAAAAACAGGAGAUUCUGGGGGACCACAAGUUUUUACAAAUUAGGCUUAUUUUAGGAUAAAUUCACCCUUGUUAGUGUGCAGUUCUGUGAGUUUUGAUAUACAUAUGCAGUCAAGUAACCACUCCCACAAUUAAGAUACAGAAUAAUUCCAUCACCCCCCAAAUUUCUUGUAUGCCCCUUUAUAGCUAGCCCCUGACCCUAACCUCUGGCAAUCACUAAUAUAUUCUCUUUUUCUAUAGGCUUGCUUUUUUUCAAAAUGUCAUAUACAUGGAAUCACACAGUUUAUAGCCUUUUGAGUCUGGCUUAUUUUACUCAGCAUAAUGCCUUUGAGCUUUAACCAUGUAAUUUCAUGUAUCAGUAGUUCAUUCCUAUGUAUUGCUAAGUAAUUUUCCACUGUAUAGAUGCACCACAGUUUGUUUAUCCAUUCACCAAUUAAAGCCAUAAUCAACUUCCAUGUAGAAGUUUGUGUGUGAACACAGUUUUAAUUUAUUUGGGGUUACUACCUAGGAGUGAGAUUCUGGGUCUUAUGGUAAGCAUACAUUUUACUAAGAAACUAUAAAACUCUUUUCCAAAGUGGCUGAACCAUUUGACAUUUCUAACAGCAAUAUUUGAAAGUUCCCAUUGCUCUGUAUCCUCUCCAGUACUUACAUGCUCAGCAUUUUGGUUUGGUCUGGUUUCAUUGUUUCUGAGCUCUUCUGAUAGAUGUGGAGUACACCCCCAUUUUGGAUGAAUUGUGCCAAAUGUGUAGACCAUCCUCAAAAUCUAAGGUCUCAGUAAAAACAAUUAAACAUGAUUUCUGAUAUAAUGUCUUAUCCUUGAAAACCCUGACCCAUCCAUCUUCAGCACAUUCACAUGUGUAAUAAGGUAAGUGAUUUUUAAUUCCACCAGGUUUAAAGACCCCUGACGUGACUUAUUGCCAUUCUGCUACUGAGCCUUGAGAGAUUAUGGUAAGUGCCAAGAAAAAAAAAAUGACUUUGAACUGCUCUUUCACCAGUUAAAAAUAACACUGAAACCAAAUGUAAACAUAAAAGAAGUGGUCAGAUUCGGGUUACAUAUUAACGGUGUUUGGUCAGGCUGGAGCUGAGGCACAGCAGCAGAGAAUGCCUUUUACUUAUCACUGUUUCCAAACCUCCCUACCUGGACUAGGCUUGACUGGAUUUACAAGAGACCUUUUGAAAAGAUGCAGAGAAGGCAAGCAGCACACAUUUCCUGGUAAUAAAUUUUAAAGGUUGCUAAAACAUUCCAGAGAUUUUCACUCAACAUUCCUCUGGCCAACACAUCUGCAAUCUGCCAAUCCUUAAAAAUAGGUGUUUUUGCAUUUUAAUCUCACAAACAUCUUUGAAAAUGCAUUUCUUCUCUGCCCCUGUGUUGGACAAAUCCAGCUUUUUCCAUUUUCUAAAAACCACAGAAAUAUAAUGCUGCUUAAUUCAUACAAGACUGAGCUAACUGGAGUUAAAAUAAAAUUUCUGAGAGUUUGUUUGGCUCACUCUUCCCUACCAGAUGAUUCCAUUCUUAAAACGGUCCUGUGAUUAUAUUCUCUCAUUACAGAGGUGUCCAGAAAAAAAAUAAGGAGUGCAGUUCUGAAAUUAUAUAAAAGCAAAAUUAUUACUCUAAACGUAAGAGCUGUGAUAGAUCGUGUCAUUGACCAUGGUUCUUUUCCCCUGACACACACGUCCCCACCACCCACCCACUGUAUCCAUAUGCCUUUUGCCAUAUGACUUUGCAGCUCUCCCCACUAAAGGGGCAGCCAUGCGAUUUGCUUUGGCCAAUGAAAUGAGGCAGUAGUGGUGGUAUCCUAGUUCUGAGCCUAGGUCUCAAGAAGUCUUAUGUGUUUCUGCUUAUCCUCUUAUACCUCUGCCAUCACCAUGAGCCAAACAUCCCCCAAGUAGCCCACUGGUCCCAGGACAAGGAGGGAGACAUGAAGCAGAGCUCAUCCAGCUGCUGCAGCCCCACUUGACCCAGAGACCUACACUGGGAAGCAGAGCUGCCCAGUCAAGUCCAACCUGGAUGUGUGGAACCCCAGCCAACCUGAUGCAUGAGCAGGAGAUCAGCUUAAUAUUGAAUCCUAGCCUCAAUGCUUUGGAUUUGUGCCAAGAAAAAUAACCUGAUCCCCAGAAUCAUUGAGAAUUGACGGGGGUCCUCAGGCUGCUCACGGCAUUGGAAGACAUCAUAAACAUUAAUGGAGAGCGGGAUGCCAGAAUAAGUUGAUCCAAAUGAUGCAGGAAUAUUUAGCAGCAAGGAGAAAGGAAUUCACAUUUCUCAGUACCCACUAUGUGCCAUACUUUGUGAUAAGAUGGUUUCCCUCCAAUAUAUCCUCAUUGUCAGCAAUGUCGGGAAACAGGAAUCAUUUCCCCUUCUACAGGUGAUAAAACUGAAGCAAGAAACAUACAGGCUAACAUCAGCUGAGCUGAGAUUUGAACUCCACUCUUUUUGACCCUGGAGCUGAUGAAUGCUGCUUCUAGAGGUUGAGUAUCCCUUAUCCGAAAUCCUUGGAACCAGGAGAUUUUUGGAUUUGGGAAUAUUUGCAUAUACAUAAUGAGAUAUCUUGGAGAUGGGACCCAAGUCUAAAUACAAAAUUAUUUUGUUGUAUAUACACCUUGUACACAUAGACUGAAGAUAAUUUUAUACAAUAUUUUAAAUAAUUUUGUGCGUGAAACAAAGUUGUGACUAUGUCUUGACUGUAAGACAUCUUGCAUGCAACCCAUCAUAUGAGGUCAGGUGCAGAAUUUUCCAUUUGUGGUGUCAUGUUAGUGCUCAAAAAUUUUCGGAUUUUGGAGCACUUCAGACUUUCGUUUUCCAGACGGGGGAUGCUCAACCUGUCUUAGAACCUGUGGUCUCCCAUCAUGCCUCCCUUCCCCAUUCCCUUGCUCCACUGGGGUCUGAGGUGGGAAAGCAAAAGGAGUUGCAGGUAACCCUCACUUUUCACACCAGGCAAUCUCUCCCCACAAUCUGUCACAUUCCUGAAGAACAAGGAAGCAGAGCACUCCACUGAAGAAAUUCUGUUAAAAUCUAUCCCCAACGUAUAAGCAUCCAUCUUUGUCCCAGUCUGGGUCUAACAUGAACAAAGUGCUUAAACAAUUCAGUAGAGGAGAAAGGGAACUUGGAGCAGCUCUGUCACCCUGAAGUGACACUGCCAUGCUGCAUUUCCUGUCUGUAAUAUCUCUUCAGAGCAAUUGUUUUCUUCUGUGAGGACACUUCAGAGAUUCACAGAGACAGAUGCUCUUGUGACUGACCAUAGCAAGUAUCAAAAGGCCUGGGUGGAAUUACGAAGCAUUUCUCGUGCACUGCGUAUUGGGAAGUGCUUCACAGCUGUGUGGCAGAUGUGAGUGGACAGAGGGGCAAGGGAACUGCCCCAAAGGAGGUGGCAGAGGAAGCAACAAGCCAGGGAUUGGCUGGCCGGUCCCAGCACAGCAACUGCAGCAGCAGCUUGCUAAGUUUCACAGGUGAAGCCAAAGGCUGGGGGGAAUGGAAAACAAAUAUCACUCCAUUAAAUUAAGGUCUGAGGAAAACAUGAUGAGGAAAGUCAAUAGUGAAUCAAAACAUUGAAAAGCCACUAACUUUGACUUUCCAUGUGCGUGUGCAAGUUCACGUGUGCAUGUGUGUCUGCAUGUCCAAGUUCUACACUGAUUCAAGAAAUAAUUAUAGAGGGCCUGCCAUAGGAUGGUGAGCAAAACAGUCUUGGCCUCUGUCCUGAUGGAGCAUGCAGUAUCACAGACUCUAUAUGUUCUAUUUCUAGGCCUUGUAUUUUGAGGAUAUAUGCCAGUGGAAUGAGAAUGGCUCUGUGACCUUGUUUAAGUCCCACCACUGUCUCAGGCAGGGUUUUCCAAAGUGUAGUCCUUAUACUAUUAUGUGGUGAAGAUGCUUAAUUGUUUUGUAAUUAUUUAAUGUGCGUAGGUAUCACAUCAAACCCAGUAUUUUCAAGGAUUUUUAUAGCUUAAGACAAGGCUUGUUAUAGGCAAGGUGGAUCAAUUCAAAAAAUAUAUGCUAACAAAAUAAUAGUGGAGGUGGUACAAAGAAACAGCAAAGGUAGUGAGAUGGCUUCACUGGUGUUUGUGAAUCACCAAGAUAAUGCACGUGGAAAUAAAAAUCAGUGUGGUCCAUAGAAAUACAAGGGGUUCUAAUUACCCCUCAGUGAGCACUUGCUCUCUCACUCACCCCAGCAAUGACAUAUUAAGCAAAGCACUGCCCUGACUGCAUAUGCUCUUGCCGACAACUUGGCCAGCAUUCAGAAGACACUAAGUGUGCUCUGGGAACUUCAGAAGGCACUAACAUUCCAUGGAGAACUUCACAAAGAGUGAGACCUAGUCCCUGGCCUAAAGAGAGUAUAAUUUAGUAGGAAAGAGAAGACAAACACACAAAUAACUGUAAAAUGGGAUAAGCCCCAAAGUGGAGGUACAAAGUCCCAUAGAAGAGGCUCAAUGAUAAGUCACGCCUGCCGGGUAAGGUCAAGAAAGACUUCAUGGAGAUUUGAGAUGGCAUCUGAGAUAAGCCAGGAAAGACGGUAGAAUUUCAACAACCAAAAAAGUGGGGAGAGGGAUGGGAGGCAUUCCAGAGAAGGAGAAAUGCUUGAGCAAUGGUACAGAGACCAGGAAGUUAUAUGAGGGCAGAAAGUCCCUGCUGUCUAUUUAGCUGGGAUAUAGAAUGCAAGUCAGUUAGAUGAUUAGGUGGGGUUAUAACAUAACUAGCCUUAAAUAGUGGACUGAGAAUUUUCCACUUAAUUUAAUGCAAAUGGCAGGGGAGGGGGCAGGCAAUGGAGAGCUGAAAACAGGACUGGAGAUGCGCUGGAGGGAAGUAACCCUGGAAAUGGGUGAAGUACGGGUUACUGUCACCCCAGCUCUGGUUCUUGUUAUUCCCUAGGAGAAGCAUAAUAGAAGUGUGAAUUUAGGGUAGCCAAAUGAUGACUUUGCAGAGGGAAUCUUUAGGACUUGUGACUUGAUUAAAAGCAGGGAGAUGGAUAGGGAACGUCCAAGGAUAACUAGAUAACUAGAGCUCUCCUGUUCCUCUGACUCAUGUGUGCUGAAACUGUAGAGUCAAACAAACACUUGUAAGUGGCGUGAUGUAAAUCCCUUAGGGGCCCAUGCCUGCCUCAAGAGAAGAACGUGUGGUCAGGAAAAACGACCGGGGGAAGUGAAAACGACACAAGACCCAGAGGAUAACCCUUAUUUUAUUCACACAUGCAAAUUUAGGCACAGCAAAAAGCAAAACGAAGUAUACCAAAUGUCAAGGGUUAAUUAUUAAUCAUUUCUAUAUUAAAUUAUGAGUUUUUCAGUAAGACACUUUUUGAUAAGAAACUUGAAUUACGUUCAUAACCAUCAAAAUAAAGAAAAUAAAAGAGACAGAUUUUCUUUGGUGGUGGGAGAACAUUAAGUAUUGUGGAAGCCUGAAAAAUGGUCCCCAAAAGAAUCUGGUCCUAAUCCUUAGAACUUGUGAGUAUUAUCUUACUUGGAAAAAGGGUUGUUUUAAGAUAAGGAUCUUGAGUUGGGAAGAUUGUCCUGAGUUAUUCAGGUAGGCUGUAAAUGCCAUCACAGGCAACCUUUUUACAUGGAUAUUUGACACAGAGUGGAGGAGACACCCAUAGGAGAAGGCUAUGUGAAGACAUAGCAUCGAGACACUUGAAGAUAUUGGCCUUCAAAUGGCACAGCCACAAGCAAAGGAAUGCCAGCAGCCACCAGGAAAAAGCAAAGAAUGGAUUCUCACCUAAAGUCUCCAGAGGGACUGUAGAGUAUCCUGCCAACACCUUGAUUUUGACUCUGUGAAACUGAUGUCAGGCUUCUGGCCUCCAGAACUGUGAGAGAAGAAAUUUCUGUUGUUUUAAACCUUCGAAUUUGUGGUAAUGUGUUAGAGCAGCCACAGGAAACUCAUAUUCUAAACUAGCAACUAUGAAAUGAGAAUUUCUAGUGUUCAGCUAAGAUACCACCGCAGAAGCAGCUGGAUAAUAUCAGAUGAGCCGAAAACUUCUCUUACCCCAUUUCCUUAUCCAUAAAAUUAGCAAAUAAUACCUGUCUUGCAGAGUUAAUUUUAAAGUUAUACAAGUAAAUACACUUUGAAAGUGACAAGUACUAGAAAAAUGUAGGGAAUUAUCCUACAAGUCUGGGUAUCCCCACCACCCAAGGCACAUGAAUGAUGCACAAUAAAAUAUACAAUUGGUUAGAAAUAGAACAAAGUGUUGAAAGUGCUUCAAAGCUCGAAAUGUAGGGCAUGAGGAAUGAAGGAAAUUCAGUUCAGGAAUAAAAUAUUUAUUCAGCAUCACUAAUAAGCCAGGCACUCUGCCAGAACCCAAAGGUAUAAAGAGGAACAAAUGAUAAUUCCUGCCCUGUGGAUGGCUUAUAGUCUAGGGUAGCAUUUUUACAGUGUGUUCACAGACCACUAAGCUCUCAAAUUUCUAUUUAAAGAUGCCAAAGGACCCAAGAUCAAGUGCUAUAUUCUAAUAUCUACCCUCUCCAUUUCCUACCCCCUCCCACAACCACACUUUCUGUAGACUCACAAUGUGUUAGUUAAUUUAAGGCAUUGAGUCCUGUUGUUAAUAAGCUGACUUGCCCUUAAUUAUCACAGGCUUUUCCAAAUUUCCUUGACAUGCACUAACCAUUUAACCUUGGGGAAAAGAAUGGAAUAACAUUCUUGCCUGCCUGUUGUAGCUGUCAUCAUAUUUAAAUGUAAUAAAACAUGGAAAGUGUUUAAUAAUUAUGGUGCUCUAGGCAAAAUAGCAGUCCUUCAAAAAUGCCCAUGCCCUAAUCUCCAGAACCUGUGAAUAUGUUACCUGACAUUGUAAAGCAACCUUGUAGGUGUGAUUAAAGUUACAAGCUCUGAGAAGAGAAAAUUACUCUGGAUUAUCUGGGUGGGCCCAGCUUAAUCAUAUGAACCCUUAAAAGUGGAGAAUGUUUUCCAGCUAAGGUCAGAGAAAGAGACUUGACAAAGGAAGAAGGGUCAUAGGGAUGUGAUACCGCUAGCUUUAGAGAUGAAGGAAGAGGACCACAGCCAAGAAAUGUGGGUAGCCUCUGAACACAAUACAAGGCAAGGACACGGGCUCUCUCCUUGAGCCUCUAGAAGGAGCACAGCCAUAAGGCAUUCUUAAACUAUGUCGCUUACCUUACCUACCUCAUCCACUUACUACUUGUAUGGCUAAUGGCAUGAGGAAGUCACUAAAACUCUCCGAGCCUUCCUGGCCUCCACUUAAAUGGGAGUGGUACCCACAGAGGGUCAGGAGGCUCAAUCAAAUCUCAAAUUCAUUAUCUCUUGCUUCUCAUGCACAAGUCAGUGUCAGCAGGAGGCAUCAGUGCUUCUGCAAAAAUAACUAAUUCAACAUUACUUUGUCAGAUCACAACCCUUCUUUGCUAAAACCUUCCAGAGGCUCCCUGUCUCACUCACAGAACAACCUCAUGGACUUCCUCUGUUCUCAGGAUUCUCAUGACACAAUAUGACCCCAUUUCCUCUGACUAUAGGUCCUUCCUCUCUCCCCCUUCCUGAUGGUGCUCCAGCCAUACUGGCCACCUUGCUGUUCCUGAGGCACACCAGGCAGCUUCCAGCCUCAGGACAUUUGCACUUGCUGUUUUCUCUGCUUAGAGCCCUCUUCCCCCAUAUCCACAUAGCUUGCUCCCUCAACUCCUUUAGAUCUUCAUUCGGCUAUUACCUUCUUCCUGAGGCCUUCCCUAACAACCCUAUGAAAAUUGCAAUACCUGCCAGCCAAACAUUCCCCAUCCUCCCUUCACUUUAAUUUCCGCCAUAGUAAUUUCAUCUUCUCACAUGCUGCAUAUUUAACUGUUUUGUUUACUUUCUUUCCUCCAUUGGAAUAUAAGCUCUAUCAGGGCUUUUCAUGAAGGACAUGCAAGUAGAUGCUUGAUAAAUAUUUGUUGGAUAAAUAAAUCAGUGCAUAUACCAAUCUGAAGUCACAAAAUCAAUAUGAGCAUCACCUUCCACUAAAGACAUAUCCUUUCAGUUAUCGAUGAAAAAUGAAGUUGAAAACACAAUAAUCAGCCUGUCAUUGAACAAUGCAGCUGCAGCUAAGAUCAAGUUCUUGACUGACUUUGCCGAGCCCAACCAAUUCAAAGGAAGAAUAAAAACAUGGUCAAGGGACCCAAGACCCAGCUCUUAUCCCCUACUCAGAGAAAACCCAGAGAGAACCAGCCUUCUGAUGUCUUGUCCUUCCUGGUUUUGACCAACCUCUAAAAACCAUAAGAACAGUUUGUCUCAGUAUUUCAGUACUUCCGCUUCCAGGCCCAGGAAAGAGCAGGAAGUGCAGGGGCGUGUGAAAAUCAAGAAAAAAGAAGAAUUAAACCCGCUACACAUGAAGCGCUCAAAGACUUCCUCUGUAACCUGUUGCAGCACACGAGUUUCAAUGUGCUUUCACUGAGAGCCCAGGGGGACUGUGCUGUCCCCAGAAUUUCGCACCAUGCCCCACACUCUCAAUGAACACUUGUUGCCUAAAAAAAAAAAAUUAAAUUUUAAGACCUUCAGUUUCUCUAUUUGUAUAAAGUGAUUAUAAAACCUACCUUAUGGAGCUGUCUGAUGAUCACAUAUGAAAUCGCAUAUGUUAAGUGCUUAUGCAGCGUCUGGCACAUGAUCAGCAUUAAUUUUAUGUGAACUGCCAUUUUGAUGGCAGUGGUGGCGAUCUGAUGGUGGAGGAGGUUUAGUUAGCGCUGGGUAGAUUGUAACAUAUACCUAUCCUUAAUGAUUUGUUCAACCUGGAAUUUUGGACGGAGCCUGGGCCUGAGGAGUUGAACCUUAGAGUGAUCCAUUUCUCUUGGAAAAGUCCUGUUCAGUUUGAGCAAGAAACUCUGGAAAGGGGAAGGAUGUAUUUUAAUCCCAGCUACCAGGGUGACAGGCAGCAGAACUGAAACAGCAUGACUAAGCACAGACCAUCUCCUUUCAUUACAUGGGGGGCUGAGGUCUUUCCUCUCUACUGCCAGGGACUGGAGAAAGGAAAGAUACCCAGUUUAAUUGCAUCUGAUAAACGGAUAGUAAAGUCCAAGAGUAGACAAUUGGAAUAUUUCCCCAGCCUUUUUCCUGUUAGGUUCUCAAAGCUAGAAAAAAAAUGCUGAAUGUCUUUUCCCUAACUUCAUAUCGCCAUAUGAAGCCCAGCUAAGUUUCCCUUGAAGUUCACUAGCCCAUUUCCUCUGUAGGUCUACAGGGGCCACCUGCCAAUGUGCAGGGAUUAAAUGAAGAAAUAAAGACCUAAGGCCUUUCUAGAAGCUAAAAACCCUAGGACUCCCUAAACACUUUGGAGUUGCAGCUCCCAUUGGUUAAGAGGUAUGGAUCGCAUAGUUUCAAGCUGAGCCAUGCUUUUCGGAAUACUCUGCUUUUUCUCAUCUUUUUCCACUAUAGUAAUACUAUAAAUGAGAUCUCUUCCAGAAAUAAAGGCAGAAAGCCCCAAGCUCGAUGCUAAAGAUGUUUGUGACAGAGUUCUGCAAGAAUAGGAUAUUUGCAGUCUCGUCUGCGAUAAUCAUUUCAGAAGUGGCUGCUGAUACUGGUAGGUAUGCAGUCAGCAAUUGUGGUGGAAACGGGGAAUGUCUGCUCAAAGAGACAGAAUGUGCAAUGACUCAAAUGAUUUCCAGCAAUUGUCAAUACUAUUUGAUGUUAGUCAUUUAUGCUACCUUUUUCUUAUUUAUAGAUUCCUAGCUUUAAAUUAACCUCCCUGAUAUAUGGAAGUAAUUUGGUCAGUAAUAAGUUCCUUUGUUUUGGGUUUUUUGUUGUUUUUUUUUUUUAGGACUAUGUGGCAGAGGAGACUCCUGACUUUCACUUCUCUAAAUAACCAACAACUCCUCACUGUCCCUGUGUAAAGCUAUCAUGGCUGUGGGGAAGGAGAGACACUUCAAGGACAGCUCAGAGCAAAGUACCAGUUUAAAAUCUUCUCACGAGAAGAGCAGCAUCCUUCACUCAUUUGUCCUUUCACUGAGGGUGCACUACAUGUACUCACUGUGCUAGAUAUUGGGAAUACAGGGCUGAGUGAGACAUGGGCAGACUCCCUGAGAGGUAACACUCAGACUACAUCUCAAAGGAUAACUAGAUAUCCGCCAAUCAAGAUGGAGCAGCAGGCCAGGUAUACAGGCUCAGCAUCACUUUGGGCGUUGCUUUAUCUUAAAAAGCUGCCUGAACCACUUAAAGGGACCCACUGCUGCCUUCAAAAGAGUACAGUGAUAUGCAUCUUCCUGAGGUCUUUCUAAGCCACUUCUGGAGCUAGAUAUAUGUUUCUCAGAUGUCUCUGAAACAAGGUUUCCAGGCAACUACAUCUGAGGCCAUUGGUGCUGCAAUAUGACUGAAAGGAAAGAGGGUGUGUACUUCAACAGCCUUGCUGUAAGCAAGGUGGCUUCAUCCCCUCCCCCCACCUGAAAUUGAGAAACACAGAAGUGACCACAGUCCUAGGCCACUGUGUGCAAAAAUGGGAAAUGUCACUCAUCAGGUCCUCUCCCACGUUUAACCAGAAUCAUCAGCCUAUAGAUUCGGGAACUGAGUGGCUUGACCAUUUUGCACGUAAGCCAUAUGCAAUUGGUCCAAAGGAGACCAGUGAGCAACAAUUCAAUUUAGAGUUCACUGAACUCUCUGGUUUGGGAAGGAAAUUGCUAGUAAUCAAUUGCAGCAAGCAUACAGGCUCAGGGCCAGGAAGAGAAAAAUCACUUUAAUGGGCAAAGCAGAUGUUGCUAAAUUCAUUGCAAAAGUGAGAUGGGCACAGAGCCAGGCCUUGCAUGAGAGAUGCUGAUCUGUUCUCCUGAAUGAACAAAACAGAGACAUUUCAAAAAGGGGGGUUUCUAUGAAAGAAGCCAGAGGUCUGUGUCCCUGUUAGAGUAAAUAAAAGAAAAUGCACCCAGGUGUUCAGGUCCCCCAUACCACCACAGGACUUAAAGUUGUUAACAUCUUACGAGGAUUUUUAAACAAAUCCAGAAUACUAGCAAAAACUGCCUGGGGAGUCUUCAUUCGGUUCUAAGGAGAGUAUGUGGUAGAGUAGAGAGAACACGGGCUUUGGCAUCAGAUCUGUUUCUUCCAUGAAUUAGUUGCUUCCACCACCAAGAAGUUGUAUGACUUGGGCAAAGUUCUUAACACCUCUCAGUCUCAGUUUCCUCCACUGUAAAAUGGGCCUAAUGUCAUUUACCUUAUUAGAGCAGUUGUGAGGACUAGUGAUAAUGUCUGUAAAGUAUGGUAGAGAAAUGCACUUAAGCAAUAACAUGUUUUCAGAACCAUGAAAAGACUAGUGACACUAGGAUGUGGGGAGAAUUGGUUAAUGACAGGGCAGGGUGGGGUGGGAUGGGGAGAAUUUCUGGCCCAAUAUUGACCAGCUUUGGCACGUGCUCUUGGUGAAGGAUUACUUCACAGGUCACAUGUUUCUUUGCAUGCUUAGGCUGAUAAAACAUCUCUCAAGAAUAUAAGAGCUCAGCAAGUGUAGGAGCAUAGCCCAAGAAAGGUCACUGUGUGUACUUAGAACAUUUUCAUGGAGUAGCUUCAAAUGCAAGCCUCCUAAAAGAGAGUUGAUUCUGAUUCCCCAAAUCUGAAAUGUUCUUUACUUACCUAAUUCCCACUCAUCCUUCAAGGCCCAACCAGAGUCCCUCCUCUGAGAAUCAUCCCAAAUUCCUCUGGAGCUCACCAUCUCUACCUACUCACAUAUUGCCCAGUUUAUAUCAGCUGCCUUCAAUCCUUCCUGGAACAAGACAUUAAUCCCAUUCAGUAAAAACUUUAAAUGCUACUUACUCAAUUCUUUGGCCUGUCAUAGUAAAGUGUCAUACACUGAUCAUCACCUGAAUCAUGUGGUUCUACCCCAAAUACUUAGCAACUUCCUAGAGUUUAGAUAUUGAACUUGCACUAAUUAAAAUCUCUAAAUCAGAAGGCAGAGAGAGCUGAGGGCUCUGACACUUGACUAGUUGUGUGAGCUUGGGCCAAGUUUCAUGGCCUUCUCAAGCCUUAGUUCUCUCAUCUGUAUACUGGAGAUAAUAAUAGCACCUUCCUCCUAGGACUUGUGUGAGACUUUCGUGAGCUCGGUCCUGCAAAGUGCUCAGCACUACAUUGUUAGCUGAGUAGUAACAGUCACUUUCCUGAAAGCUUCUUCACCCAGAGGGGCUAGCCCAUGCCUGUGCACAAAGAAUGUCAAAUUACAUUCACACCCCCUGAGAUUUCCAAGCUACAGGCCAUUUUCACAGUGGCCACUCUCCAGAAAGCUAAGUCCUGCUGAAAGUAUGUUUCCAAGUUGCCAUCACCUUUAGAAUAUUUCUGAUAAGCAAGCAAAACUGCCUGUGGCCUUUGGCAGUGAAUUUCUGGGGGCUGGUAAGAGGAGGAUGUUUACCAGAGCACAAAGGCCAGGUCAUAAGCAGAGAAUAUUUUGGCCCAGACAGAUCCCAGAGAAGGCAUUUUUGCCAAGCACAGACUCCAUUCUCAGGUCCUGAAGUCAGCAUUAGACACUAAACAAACCUUCCCGGGUUCACAUUUGUUUACUUUUGGCCAAAUGCAACUUCCUGUUUGAAAGGAAAAGGGCAGUAAAGCUUUCUAUAGCCUUCUUGGACAUAAAGGCUCUACUUGAAACAAUUGAUUUGCUAAGGAUAAAUGAAUCAAACGUACACAAUGGGGAUCUCCCCUCCCCUCAAAAUGUUCAUGUUUCAACAGGGAAAGUGCUCAACAAAACCAAAACAAAUAUUUUUUCAACUGCUGGCCAAUGAAGAUUGUUUAGGCCAUUUCUUCUCCUGAGAGCAAGAAAAACAGACAUCAGGAGAGAGCUGAGUUACAUGUGCUGUGUCAGAGAAGUCACUGCGACACACUUGGGGGUUGAGAUUUCAGUUACACAGAAAGUCACAAAGUUGAAGUUCCCACAGCCACUCAAACCACAUUCCCUAGCAUGAACACAGAACAACCAGCUCUUUCAUUACGUGACUACGUCCCAAACCACGUCCUUCAGGAUCCUGAAAUUCCCUCGGAUGCCCAUGCGCCCUGCACCUAGGUUUGAAAACUGACUACCAACCCCACAUAAAUCCACCAUAAGAUUUUACAAGGAUUCAAAAUAACUUACUCUGUGUGAGGAGGUGGGGGAUGGGGAGGGGAGGUCUGUACUUUUAGAGCAUCUAGCAAAGUUAGCAUAAAAUAUAGACUUUAACUUGGGUUUAUAUAUAAAAUGAAGGUGCUCUCUACAAAUCUUGAAUCUCCUUGUCAUAAAAUAUUAAAUUUGUAAAGGACCUUAAAAAUCUUCUGGUCAACCUCCCCCUAUACACAAAUAUAUAAAUAAUAUAGAUGAGGAGUAAAGAGGUCGGGAGACAUUUCCUCCUUAGACUGUAGACGUCUUGCUUCUUAGGGCAAGAACUAUUUUGCUUAUCUUCUUAUUCUUUAACACAGCAUGAACACAAUAAAGACUCAGGAAGAAAGUGACAAAUGAAGAAGUUAAUGAGCUGCCCUGGUCUGCAAAGUCAGGCUCAGCACACAGGACUCUCUCAAUGCUGUGCACUCUGCCCAGUCCUAUCCCUGUAUUUCCACUAGAUUGUAAUCUCCUUGAGGGCUGAAUAUGUCAUUUAUUUGUUUUUUUGGCCAUCAUACCCUGUGCAUUGAA
rnacentral:lncRNA from 1 species